rnacentral:rRNA from 1 species
GUGGGGAAUAUUGGACAAUGGGGGGAACCCUGAUCCAGCCAUGCCGCGUGUGUGAAGAAGGCCUUUUGGUUGUAAAGCACUUUAAGCGAGGAGGAGGCUACCGAGAUUAAUACUCUUGGAUAGUGGACGUUACUCGCAGAAUAAGCACCGGCUAACUCUGUGCCAGCAGCCGCGGUAAUACAGAGGGUGCGAGCGUUAAUCGGAUUUACUGGGCGUAAAGCGUGCGUAGGCGGCUUUUUAAGUCGGAUGUGAAAUCCCCGAGCUUAACUUGGGAAUUGCAUUCGAUACUGGGAAGCUAGAGUAUGGGAGAGGAUGGUAGAAUGCCAGGUGUAGCGGUGAAAUGCGUAGAGAUCUGGAGGAAUACCGAUGGCGAAGGCAGCCAUCUGGCCUAAUACUGACGCUGAGGUACGAAAGCAUGGGGAGCAAACAGGAUUAGAAACCCCAGUAGUCC